rnacentral:lncRNA from 1 species
ACCCGCACUUUGUGAGGGUUGCAUUACAGACCUUCAAGUUUGCUUUGCGAAUCUCCGAGACGUCAACUUCGCCAUGCAAGGGCGACAGCGGGUACCGCGGCAUUGACGGAUACCGAGUUGAAGACGACAAACUGCGCUCCAGCAAAACAUCCUCCUUCUUCUUCUUUCUCCUCUCGCUCUCCGUCGCCGACCCCGUUCGAGGUGCAAGCACAACUUUCAUCAGCGACUGCAUCGCUCCACAACCACCUCAAUCCAGCUCUCACGCUCUUCAACUCUCUUCUGCUCCCUCUCUCUCUCCCUCUUUUACGAGCCUCUCAAGAAAUCCUCUACAACCUCUUCUACCUGCAAUCACGACCGUCCCCGCUCCGAAGCUUACCGCAAUUCUCACGCCUGCGCUCUCAAUUCCCGCCCACGCUAAUCCCAACGACACAAGGUCCUAUUCAAACAAGCGGCUGAUGCGACACCAGGUCCUCCCCACGUCACGUUCCCCGUCAUGCAACUCAGACAGCAGCGCGAAUAGGCGCAACACGAACCGUAUCCAAUUUCAAUCCCUACGCUGACUCUACUCCACCACUCUCUCCCACCCCUCCUAAUAUACCUCACGAAAUCGCUGCGCCGUCACCACGGAACGAAUUCCUUGUGUCGCACUUUCAUGGUGGAUCCCAGGAUCUCGAAUAAGUUCUCGAGGUCUCGAGAGCUGCAGGACCCUUGCGUUGUUCAUGAAGGUGGGCCCCACUGUCAAUGCCGUGCUCGGCAGGCUUGUCUAUUAACAGCUGUCCAAUGAAACAAAGCGAACGAUCCCCCAACACCCAAGCAAAAUAUACUCGACCAGAAGCUUCAUGCCCAGUUUCGACCCCAACCCACUCACGGCAUCAGGGCAUGUCCAGAUAGACGUCGGAGGGGUCGGGACAGGAGGCCGCGAAAGCAUCGCAGACGGCUCACGUUCACUGAUGUCUCGCGGAUGUCGCCAUUCACGAUUUCCAAUGGUUCAUGAACACACUCAUCUACUGCAGUGCCGCAUUGCGAUGCCGUUGCGAACACAGUUGCGAACGCAGAUGCGGAGCAACCCGAUGACGAACACUUCUGUCCGGGUAUCUGCGUCUUGCGGACGAAUCCUGGUCGUUGUCAAGGAGUAGCUCCACCGCUUGGCCUUCAAUCUCCUCAGCAGUGCUCAAUUUCAGUGUUGCUGUCACACCGACAUCUCUGUGUUGUAUCCAUUGAGCGCAUGCACGCCGGCUGAUGGUGAUGGGGCUCCUUUGCUGUGCGUAAGGUAGACAACCCAUUUCAGAUAACUUAAGCAUUUCAGCAUAUAUGCAGUAGGUGCAUAAAUGGAAAAAAAAAAAAAACCAAAACAAAACAAAACAAAAAAAAAAAAAAACAAAACAAAACAAAACAAAAAAAAAAAAAAACGGGAAAGAUCCGGCAAGCUCCUCCUCACUGGCGCUUGGAUUACUGCGAGGAUGUGUAAUACCACAUAUCUGGCCUGCGAGCGAUUGCGAGGUCCAAUGCUCAAUACCCUGGCACAUUGUGUUAGGAUUUGAUAAAUUUAUAUACAAUAAUUUAAGCAAGUAAGAUAUCAAUUGAGGAUAGGACUUUUUUAGGAUUAGGGUUUUAGUUGAGCCUAGCAAUGGAGGUUGCACUAAAGUGAGUCAUAGUGCCUAUAGUACCAUUUGUAGUGGGAUUGUAAUAGUGUGAGGAGACAACAUGACGAUAACCACGACCUAUGCUGUGAUACUAAAAAGCAAGUUGACACAUGCAUCCCUGUCUCUUACAACAUUGAAGGUGUAGUACAAGAAGAAUAGAUCUAAGAAAGAAUAAUUGGAAUUUGAAUUGGUUGCUACUAUUGCACAAAUGGAGCGGCUCAUAGAUAUCCAUCCCAUGCGAGCAUCACCAACUAAGAUCCUUUCUAAAAGAUUUUUUUGUAGCAAAAAAGAUUUCAUACUAACAAAAUGUGUUGUUUGGGUGAUAUUAAACGAGGCCAAAGUACCAAAAGAAAUGGAUUAUUUUUAAAAGAAAGUCAUAAUAGCAUAUAUUGUGGAAGACAAUCAAUUACCAAAAAUCAUAUAAGACUAUGUGACAAGUAUCUCAAAAGAACUUGGAAAAGAAUUGAAUUUAAGUCGCAAAUUAGAUCAUGGCUUCUUCUAGGUCAUAGGAAAGGAUGUGUCAAGGACAUGAAUCUCAAAGAAAGAAAACUCAAUACACUCUUGUAUCACUCAAAAAGAUUAAAAAAUCACUCAAAGAUAGUAAUAUAUUGAACUAGAAUGGCUAUUGCUAAAGACAAGAAUAUUAAAAAGUCUUAAAACAAGACUAAGGACUAUAAAAGCAAUGACAACAAUGAAGAAGGCUUUACUCUUGCUUCUAUAUUUACUAUCUAACAAGGAGCUAUAUGACAAUGUUCUAUAGGAUCUCCAAUACGUGUUCAUUUUAUAAAGCAUAUGUUUUAAUUUGCAAGACAAGUUUCUUAUAUAUGCACCAUAUUGUUGCCAUAUUGUAACACAACUAUAUGGUAAAAAUAUAAUCAAAAAUAAAAUUUUAAUUAAUAUUUAAUCAUCUUAGUUCAAUAGUAAUUCAAGACAUUUAAGCAUGGCUUUUAUAAAAAUCUCUUAGUUUAUUUUCUUAUCUUAAUAGCUAGUAGAUUCAAGGUUGGUUAAUAAUUUUACCUUCUAAACUAUUAAAUUUCUUUUAUUGGCUUAGAAAGGCCAUAAAUUGAUAAAAAAAAAAAAUAGUAAAAAAAGAUAAAUAAUUAAUAUAAUUGAUACUAGACUUAAGUUGAAGAUAAGAUCAAACUAAAAAAUCCCUAGGAUAGAUUGGAUUGAUAUCCGAGGAUUAACCAUUUGUGGAACAUACUUGAAAUCAAACCUCCAGUCACUAAAAUGGCUGCCUAGAGCAAAAUAGGGAUUCAUUUGAAGAUCGGCAAUUGGAGUUUGUAAGCUAGCUUCAAGCUUAUUCCAAAGUUCUAAGUCUUGUUUUCUUAGGAUUUGGAAUGAAUUUUUAAUUGUUGUUCAAAAUCAAGAUUUGUAUCAAUAAUUUGGAAUUUAUGCAAUAUAAUCAGGGCUAGCACUCUUCACUACUUCAUGCAAUUGAUGUCACUGCUCAACAUUGUCCAAAGAAGCGAUACAAUUACAAAAUGAGGAAUACUACCAUCAAAGAAAAUAGUAUGUCAAAAAAUAAGUUUGUCUAGCUACAAUAGGGACAGUGUAGCUAGAACCUUAUACAAUAUCUAAUGAAGGUCUUAUUCUCUCCUCAGAACCUUCUCUUUAUUUUACAAUAAAUGUUAUUUUAGGACCUUAACAUCACAAAGCCUCUACCUUAUUAGAUUCAAGAGCCUCAGCUUGUUUCUUAGAUGAAGAAUUUGCUAAAAGAUAUAGCAUAUCUUUAAUGAAGAAAACUAAACAUAUUCAUAUAGAAGUCAUAGAUGGUCGUCCAUUGUCUUCAAAAAAAUUUAUUCAUGAAACUCUUCCUAUAGAAGCAAUAAAUAAUAAUUAUAGUAGCUUUGUAAUAUUUAAUAUGAUUAAAUCUUCUUCUAAUUGAAUAAUUUUAGAUUUAUCAUUGCUAAAAAAAUAUAAUCCAAAAAUAGAUUGAAUUUCUUGUAGUCUUGAUUUAUUUGAAAGUAUAACUAAGAAUAUAAUUGAUCAAGUAGAAAGACAUAAGUCUACUAUAAUUAAAUCUAUAUUUGUAGGUGCAAAAGCUUUCUUGCAUGUUAGAAAAAAAAGAUUAUCUUAUGUCAUUCAUAUUGUAUCCAUUUCAAAUAGUAGAAAGACUUCAAGCGACAUUCUAAGCCAAUAUCAAGAUUUUCAAGAUGUAUUUGAGAGAAAGAGUGCUGAUACUCUACCAAAAUAUUAUCCCUAUGAUUAUUCAAUUGACCUUUAAGAAGGAACUCAAGUGCCAUUUGGACCAAUUUAUAAUUUAUCAUAAAAUAAAUUGGCUAAAUUCAAAAAGUAUAUUGAAGAAAAUCUAGCCAAGAACUUUAUAUGCCAUUCCAAAUUUUCGACAAGAGUUCUAAUUUUAUUUGUAAAGAAAAAAGAUGGAUCAUUGCAAAUAUGUAUCGAUUAUCAAGGACUCAAUAAAAUCACCAUCAAGAAUAGAUAUCUACUACCUUUGAUAUCAAGACUUCUUGAUUAAUUAUAUCAAUCUAAGAUCUAUACAAAAAUAGAUCUAUAAGGGGCAUACAAUUUGGUAUGCAUCAAAAAAGGAGAUGAAUAGAAGACUACAUUUUGAACAAUGUAUAAACAUUUUGAAUAUAAUGACAUGCCUUUUGGACUUAUAAAUGCACCAAUAGCUUUUGAAUAUCUAAUGAAUGAUGUUUUUUGAGAGUUUUUAGAUGACUUUGUUGUUUGUAACCUAGAUGAUGUCUCAAUCUAUUCUAAUAAUAUAUAAGAAUAUGAAUUUUAUGUUUGUUGUGUAUUACAAAAACUAAGAAAUACAGGACUUUAUGCCAAGAUAGAAAAGUGUAUAUUCUACACUACUCAAGUCGACUUCUUAGAAUACAUCAUUUCAAAUGAUGGAUCCUAAAAAAUUUCAAACUAUUAUAGUUUGGAAGAUUUCAAAAAUGGUAAGAAAUGUCCAAUGUUUUGUGGAAUUUGCCAACUACUACCAGAUCUUCAUCAAGAACUUCUCUCAAGUUGCAACUCCACUUAUCCAUUUGACUUAUAAAAACAAACUUUAAUGAAAUCAAGAAGUAAAAGUAAUAUUUAAAGCUUUGAAUAAAACCUCUAUUUUUACACCAAUCUUAUAUUACAUUGACUCUUGUAAGUUAUUUUGUUUCAAAAUAGAUGCAUCAAACUUUACUUUGGAUGCCAUAUUAUUAUAUAUAGAAAUAGAUAAUAAACUUCAUCUAAUAGCUUUUCAUUCAAGAAAAUUUCUAAUAGCCCAGAUCAGCUAUAAGAUUUGUGUCAAAGAACUUCUUGCAAUUAUAAUUUUUUUUUAAGAAUGAUGCAAUUUUCUAAAAGGUGCUUCUAAUCCAAUAUUUAUUUAUUCCAACCAUAAGAAUCUUAAAUAUUUUAUAUAAGAACCUAUUUUGAUUCAUGGCCAAGUCAAUUGGAGUAUGUCUUUAUCAAGAUUUGAUUUUAAGAUUACUUAUCGACCCAAAAAAUACUAAAGUUUGUCAGACACCUUUUUUAGAUAUUUUUGUCUUGUAUCAUAAGAAGAAAAUACAUCUUUUCAUCAACAAAGCAUGAUUCUCUUGAUGUUGGAGCAUUUUCAUCUUCAAGCAAUAAAAUCAAUAUUGACUAUUGAUUCAACUCUUGUCAAGUAGUUUUGAUCAAGUAUAUCCUCUGAUCCUUUCAUUUAUGAUACCAAGAAUCUUUCUUCUAAGUCUUAUGAUGCUUCCAAGUUCAAGUUCAAAAAAAACCUACUCUAUUUUAAAAGACACUUAUACAUUCUAGAAGGAAAAGCAUGUUUAUGUAUUUUUUAAAUAUGUCAUAACUUUCCAACGGCUUGACAUUUUGGAUACAACAAGACUUUAAAACUUAUAUCUAGAGAUUUUUAGUAGUCACAAGUAUGAAAGGGAGUGAAAGACUUUGUUUAGUUAUGUAACAUUUUUUCAAGGUCAAAAACUCUUUAUUAUUGACUUUAUUGACUUUUCCAAUUGUUACCUAUUCAAGAACAACCAUGGUCUUUUGUUUCUAUGGAUUUUAUCAAGGAUCUUUGAGUCUCAAAUUCUUAUGACUCUAUAUUUAUGAUAAUAGAUCAUUUCACCAAGAUGGCACAUUUUGUACCAUGUACAAAAGCUAUUAUAUAUAAAAAAGUAGUCAAGCUUUUUCUUGAUAAUAUCUAUCGAUAUUAUGGAUUACUUAAGUUAAUUUAGUUUGUAUCAAGAUUUUAAAAAAAUCUUUUCAAGAUUCUAAAAGUAGACAUAAAACUAUAUUUGGCUUUCUAUUCUCAAAUUAAUGGACAAAUAGAGUGUAUAAAUCAAGCUUUAGAAUACUAUUUAAGGUGCACCAUCAAUUACCAAUAAGAUGAUUAGACAACUCUUUUGCUAUUGACAAAGUUUGUUUAUAAUAACAUAGUAUAUUUUUCUAUAUAAUAAAUAUAUAUAUAUAUAAUUUUUUGCUAAUUAUGGUUAUUAUCCACAACUUAAUGGUUUUAAUUUUUGAAAAGUUGAUAAUCAUGUGGUGGAAGAUUUGGCAAAAUAUUUAUUUGAAUUACAUACAAUAAUGAAGGGACGUCUAAAAGAUGCUAAAAAACAAUAAAAGAGCAAUGUGGAUGCUUAUCAUAAGGAACAACCUCAUUUCUACAUUGGUGAUAAGGUAUGGUUAUUUUGUCAUAUUAUUAAAAUUAUUUGUUCUUAUGACAAGUUGAAUUAUCAUAGAUUUGGACGAUUUCCUAUUUGUGAACAAGUCAAUUCAGUUGCUUAUCAAUUAUAUCUAUCAUAGUCUAUGAAAAUCUAUUCCAUAUUUCACAUGUUUUUUUAAAAGCCAUAUAAAACAAUCAAUAUCCUAGAAAGAAGACAAAUACCAUCGUUGUCGUACUGUAAAUGCUUACAAUAUGUAAAAAUUAAUUAAAAUAUAUUAUAUGUUAAUAAAUCUAGAUGUGUGUUCGAGUGGCUAAUAGAUUAAAUUAAAAGGAGUUGGUAUAAGAAACUUUACUUUGUUUCUUUACUUGUUUUGAUUUUGACAUUAAAAAUAAAAAAAUAUAGGACCUAAAUGUUUAGUAUGAAGCCUUGGGAGAAGGUGGAAGCUUGAGGAUGAAAAUCUAAACUAGAAGGAUGCUAAUUGGAGGAAUGAAAGCAAGUCAUGGUGAGAUGAAGGCAAGGAAUGUGAAGGAGUUAUAAGGAGUUGAAGGCGGCGCUUUCAAAUCAAAGGUAGUAAGUAAGCGAUUUUGUUUGUAGUAAUGGUUGGAGCCAUAACUUGAGUAUUCGAACGAAUUUUUGACUCAAACUUUUUGGAGAAUGUACAUUUUUGUGUUAAAAAGCUAUACAUAUAAAUUUCGUAGCAUUUGAGCUUAUAUUUUGUGAGAUAUGAAGAAAAUUGCAUGCGGGUAUAUAAAGACAAAGAUUUGAAGCGGCUGUUAGGGUUUUCAAGAUAUCUCAAGAUCCGCAAUGAAUUUAAAAUUAAAAGUUUUUAUAAAAGUUAAUAAGAAUACAUCAGUACCUCAUGUAAAAUUUGAGUUUGUUUGGACGGUCGUAUUAGGAGAUAUGAGGUGUUGAAGUUCGGAAAAAUCUCCACAUAAGAAUAUACAAGGUUUUAGAGGAUUUUAUCAUAUUUUGGAUGUUGUUGGUUACUUGAGGCUUGUGUAUUUGGUAUAAUUGCUCAAAAGAGAAAAUUUAUAUAUAAACUUAGGGCUUCCUUUAUUUUGAAGCUUGAUUGAAUGAUUAGUGACAGCCAGAAGUCUAACAUUUUCUUAAGGCAAAUUCUCUCUACCCCGACACUGCCUUCUAUAGAAGUGGGUAGUAAUCAAAAAUUUGAGGUGGAAGAAGUUUUAGACUGAAGGUGGCACCGACAUAGGUUGGAAUAUCUUAUUCAUUGGCUCAGAUACAAUAUUAGUAAAUAGACAUGGGAGCCAAUAAAAAAUCCUACAAAUGUAGUAGAGAAGGUCAAAGCUUUUUAUCAAUGACAUCCAUCAAAAUUAAGAUAAGAGUUAGUAAACCUUUACUAUAAAAGAAUUACAAUUUAUGAAAGAUUACAUUCUACCUCCUAUCCUUGUUUGUAAUUUCUAUAUAAUUGUGGUGUUAAGGAUAUGGAGAAUCAAUAGCCAACGAAUUUAACUCAAGAGCCAUCAUUUACUAACUUAUUAGAUGAGAUAUUGCAACUAUCAAAGCCUUUAAGACAAAAUAAUAAGGGUGAAGACUUUCAAGAAUGACAUGUUUUUUUUCAAAUAGAUGGCAAGAUACAAUGUGUUUAAUUUCAUGACCUAGGAAGAGUCUUUCAAUGUUUGUUGGUUUUAUUGGAGGUAGAAACAACUCUUGAUGGUAUAACAAAUAUUUUAUUUGAAAAAUUUUUUGAAAGUUUUAACAAUGAUUAAAUAAUAGGGUGGUCUUUUUGCAUUGAAAUAGGACAUUACCGAUAGCCAAGAGAACCUAUCAACUACCUUCAAAGAAAACAAAUAUUAAAAAAUAUGAUAAAUAUAUUUUGCCGCAUCUUAGACUUCUUCAAUAUGUAAUUACUCUUUUUUGUAGAACUUAUCUUUAGAAGGGGGAGUAAUGUCAUAGAUAUAUAUCUACUAUAAUUAUUAUUUAGAUAAUAUGAAUAAAUAGAAGUAGAUAAAAAUAGAUUAAUUUUAUAAUAUCUUCUAAAAUAACUUUUUAAAAGCUUUUUAGAUAUUAUUUUGACUUUAUAUGUAUUUAUAGAUGUGUCACGAAUUUAGAAUACUGAUUGGAAAUAAGAAGCUCAAGAAGAAUUGGCAAGAAUUAGAUUAAUGAGAUGAAUACAAGAACAACACUAGAGAGGUGAGCUAGAGCUCGAAGAGGUGUAUUGUCGAGAGUGAGGAUCUCCUCAGUUCUAGCUCCUAUAUAUACUACCAACUAGGAAGCUUCUCAAGUAGCUUCCACAAACUAAGAAGCUUUUCAAGCAGCUUCUACGAGUUAGGAAGCUUCUCAAGCAGCUUCUACAAUCUAUGAAACUUCUCAAGGAGCUUCCAUGAGCUAGGAGGCUUCUCAAGCAGCUUCCACUAACUAUAAAGAUUUUCUAGAAUCUUCUAAAAUCUUCUACAACUUCCUAGUGUAUGUCCUUAACAUCACUCCUCCCUUUAGCUUCGAGGUCUUUGAGAAGCACUCCUAUUGCGAGUUAGUACCAACGUAAGAAGUUGAAAAUUUAUCGCAUAGUAUCUGUAAUAUACUCCAAUUGUUGUUUGAGCGACAAAUAGUUCAUUGAUCCUUGUAACCAACGAUAGUGUCCUACGCCUUUGAUUUUUGACCAGGCAUGAACUUCCGUGUCUUCAUUGUAAAAAUGCCUUACAAAUAUUCCUUUGGAAAGAUCAUCCUAGGUAGGAUCUACCUCAAACACAAUCAUUAGCGACUUGUUACUAUGUAUCUUUUGUCGUCUUUGUAGUACAGAUAAUUCUUCAUCUCGGGGUCAUUUUUGUGAGAUAUUCGGUUGACAAGACAUAACUGGUAUGGUAUCUAUCUCUUAUCUAUUCAUAUCACACCAAAAAAUAUAAGCACUAAACAUAGAAGAAUGGGCUCAGGUUACAGAUUUAUAGUCUCUAACUAUGUCUUUUAGAGGUUCCUUCUCUCCUUUCUUUGUUAGGCCGAGGAUUAAGAGGAUUCAAGGAGAAGGAACUUCACUGUAAAACUUUCAUCGAAAGGGCUUAGGUUUCUGAGGAUAGUGCGAGUGAAACUCCUGUAUCUUUUGCUAGGCAUUGAUAAGAUUUUUUGUUGGUUCCCAUGUGUGCUCAUUGAUAUCAUAGCCGCUCUAAUGCACUAUGUACUCCAAUUUUUCUACUUACGUCGUAAAUCUAGUACCUUUUUUACCUCGUAUUCUUCGUGGUUCUCAAUUUUAAUACUAGGUGGCGGACAUUGUACUCUUUCAGAAUAAUCUGACUCUCGAUAAGGUUCCAACAAAGAAACAUGAAAGAGUAAGUGUACCUUCAUAGCAGCUGGUAAUCCCAAAUGAUAUGCCACUGGAUUGAUUUACUUCUUGAUGACAAAUGGUCCCAAUCUCCGGUAGUCCAAUUUAUGACAUGGUUGCUUGGUUUUGAUAUUCAGUUGAAGCAGCCAUACUUUAUCUCCAAUUUUGAAAGAAGGUGCCUGAUUCUGAAAUUUGACUAUGGACGCCUUGUAAGCUUCUUGGGCGGUUUGCAAUUAAAGCUUCAAUAUAGUUUGAAGCUCCGAUAGUUGUUUUGCAAAUCCUUUAGUUGCCAGAUUGUUAUUGGUUGAUGGUUUCAACAAAUCAAGCUUCGAAUGAUAUCCAUAGUUGAAAAAGAAUGGUGUUUGUUGAGUCGACGCAUGAAGGGUGUUGUUGUAUGAAAACUCAGCUAAUGAUAGAUAUGCAGUCCAAUCAUCUUGCUGAUAGUUGAUGCUGCAUCGUAAAUAUUGCUCCAAAGUUUGAUUCAACCAUUUCAUUUGGCCGUCAGUUUGAGGAUGAAAAGCCAAAGAAAGCUUGAUAUCUACCUUCAAUAUCUCAAAGAGGGAUCUCCACAACUUUGAUACGAAUUAGAUUCCUCAAUCCGACACGAUAUCAUCUAGUAAACCAUAAUAUUGAUAUACACUAUCAAGAAAGAGCCUUGAGGUAUCUUUGCUUAUCGAUGUUUUCUUGCAAGGAACAAAGUGUGCCAUCUUUGUAAGCCGAUCUACCACAACAAGGAUGCUCUCAAAUGAAUUCGAUGGCAGCAAGUUUAUAAUGAAGUCCAUGGAAACUGAAGAUCAUGGUCGAUGUGGAAUAGGCAAUGGCUAAAAAAGACCAUAAGGAGGAUGCCGAGGGUUCUUGGAUCUUAAACAAAUGUCACAAGAGAGGACAAAAUCCUUGACAUCCUUCUACAUUUGGGGCCACCAAAAAUCUCGAGAAAUAAGUUUCAAGGUCUUAUUGAAUCCAAAAUGUCCUACAGCAGGAAAGUCGUAUCGAGAUUAGAGAACUUGGAAUCGUGUUGGUCUCUUUGGAAUAUACAACCGCUCCUCAAAGUGUAAAAGAUCUCCUUCUAUCUUGAACUUGUCAUUAUUUACACGUUGCAUGAUAUUGAAGGCUACAGAAUCUCCAAUAGUCACAAUACGUACUUGGUUGAGGAAGUCAACAUCAAUUGGCAUUAUAGUAGAGCAAAGCUUGAAUCGUUCUGACUUCAACAAUGUUGUAUACUAUUGAUCAAACGCUGCCUCUUUAGCCUUUGGCGCUAGAUACGAUCUCCUUGAUAAUACAUUGGAUAGUCUUUGUUGCUUCCUAAGCCAAUAAGUAAUAAUAAAAUCAAAUUUGGAUAGCAGUAUAUUCCAUCAAGCUUAACAACGAUUCAAAACCUGAGCUGACAUGAAAUACUCCAAAUUCUUGUGAUCCGUGUAUACGGUCACCGGAUGUGCAGCUCCUUCGAGAAAGUGACGCCAUUCUUGGAAAGAAUCUACUAUCGCAAGAAGUUCUUUAUCAUGGAUUUCAUUGUUGAUCUCAACAGCACAAAACUUUCAAAAGUAGAACGCAACUAGAUGAAGCUUCUCGUCUAUGCCUAUCUGUGAAAGUAUAACUCUUAUAGCAAACUCUGAAGCAUCGAUCUCCAAAUAGAAGGCCUUUACAAAGUUCGGAUGUAUCAAGAUUGGAGCCAUAGUAAAUGCCAUCUUAAGAUCUUAAAAUACUUUUUUCGCUAGAAAUCUUUAUUCAAGCUUGUCUUUACAUGUCAAUCAAGUGAACGGAGCAGAAAUUUGAGAGCAAUUCUUGAUGAAGAUCCGAUAGAAGUUAGCAAAGCUAAGAAAGCAUUGUACAUCUCUAAUCGUUUUUGGGACUUCCCAUGAUACAAUUGCUUCCACCUUCUUAGGGUCCAUCUUCAAACCUUCCGUAGUUGCAAUGAAUCCCAAAAAUUCCAUCUCAGUUUGGUUAAACAAGCACUUCUCCAAUUUGGCGUAAAAUCCUUGCUUGCAAAGUUUUUCAAGGACCAGAUAAAUGUAUUUUUCAUGCUCUUCUAAUUUUUUGGAAAAUAUCAAAGUAUCAUCUAGAUAGAUGACAACAAAAUCAUCAAGGUGCUCCCGAAAGAUAUCAUUCAUCAUAUGUUGAAAGAUCACCGGAGCAUUGAUAAGACUGAAAGGCAUGACAUUAUAUUCAAAAUGGCCAUACCUUGUACAGAAAGCUGUCUUCCAUUCGUCUCCUUCCUUGAUUCGUACAAGGUUGUAAGCUCCUCUUAGAUCAAUCUUUAUAAAGAUCUUUGCAUGCCCAAGUUGCUCUAGAAGACUGGAUAUCAAGGUUAAUGGAUAAUGAUUCUUCUUUGUCACCUUGUUGAAACCUCAAUAAUCCACACACAUUCAUGGCGAGCCAUCUUUCUUCUUCACAAAUAAGUUUGGUGCCCCAACUAGUGACUUUGAAUGACAAAAGAAGUUCUUGGCUAGAUUCUUAUCAAUAUACUUUCACAACUCCGCUAACACCAUCUCCGAAAAAUUGUAGAUUGGGCCAAAAAGUGAUUGUGCUUCUUCUUGUAAGUCUAUGACACAAUCAUAUUAUGGAUGCUCCGGUAGCAUGUUGACAUUCUUCUUUUGAAACACGUCUUUAAAAUCCAUAUAUUGCUCCAAAAUACUUGUUGUCAAAAUCUUCUCUCCGCUAGUUGGAGUCGCAUAAAUGACAAACGGUGUACCUUCUUGGGACGAUGUUAGAAAUGUUCUUGCUCCAAUAAAUAAAGAUUUUUGAUUCGAGAUCUUCUAACAGGCUUACUCUCAGGAUGUUUUAUAGAAAAUGUCAUCUUUUGUAACAUCCAAUCUACGGAUGGAUUAUGCAUUUCUAACCAAGAAAGACCAAGAAUAACAGGGUUUGAUGGGAUUCUAAUAAUAUUGAAAAUAAUAUAAUUACUAUGGUCUUUAAACGUCACCUCUAUAGGUUCUGAUUCAUGGAUGAUACUACUAGAUAAUAAAAGUCAUUCAUCUAUUACUUCUAUGUGAACGGAUUUACAUUUUUAUACUAGAAGUAUCUCAUGAUGCUUAGUAAAUUCUUCAUCUAAAUAAUAAGGAGAUGCUCUUGAAUCUAAUAACGCUAAGGUUUUUAGUUUUUGAGGGCCAAAAGAUAGAGGAAUGGUAAAGCAAUGAGUACGCUGAGCAAAAAGAAAGGAACUUCAUUGUUGUUGUGGUAAUGAAUUGUCCAGCCGCACGGUCCCUAUUAUGACUGGGCAUCCUCAUUUUUCUGAACAAAUACACCUCUGGUCAAGUUGAGCCUUCUUUUUCUUCUAAAGUGGUUUAUUGCUAAAGAUCAAGUAAGGCCUUAAUCUUCACCAUCUUCUAUUUAACCUCAAUUUCAUCAAAGUGUAACCUUGAUGAACCGAUAGGCCUCAAAUGUCAAAGACAAAUCCUGCUACUUUGGUAAUUGAAUCAAUAGGAAGGCUCACUAGAUCAAGAGUAAGUUUACAACAAGAAAUCAAGACUUAAUGGAAUCAGAACAAGGACUUGGAGUAGAUUCAUCGAGAAUGGCAAAUGGAGAAGUGCAGCCUCAUAUAUCUACUCAACGACCUAUGCCAAAUUUUAUACAAUAAGCUGAACCAUCACAUAUAUCUAUAAUUCUACUUGUGGAUGUGGUAAAUAACUCGAGGCAAGCUCUAGCUUCUCUACCAACAGUAUCGACUAUUAUACUAUCUCGACCUUCUCAACUAAGGAUGCUACCAUGAGGAAUACCUAUAGUAGUGCCUCGAGGACUUCUUGAGAGGACAAUGCCUCUUAAUUUUUCACAAUUCAUAGGCUCUAGACAUGAAGAUCCUAUAGCCCUUGUUGAAAGAUUUUUGGAAUUAAUGACCUCUUAUAUGGUGUCUAACGAUGGUUAUUAUUUGAUUUGGUUUUCUACCAUAUUAGUAGAAGGUCCAUAUGCAUGGUAUAUGUCCUACAAUGCACAAACAUUCAAGACAUGGGAUGAAUUAUUAAUGGCAUUUUUAGAUCGAUUCCAACCUUCAACGGGACAACAACAAGUAGUUGCUGCUUUAACAAGUAUGUGCCAACAUCCCAUAGAGGAAAUUUUGGCAUAUAUAAGGCGUUUUAAAGAAGUUUGUAGUAGCUUUGUUAGUGAUUUGCUCCAUGAUACUACUAUUAGAGAUUACUUUCUUAAAGGACUAAAUCGGUCCUUAGAAUCUUGAGAAAUUUGGACGCAUAGGCCACAAAUAUUAGAUCAUACAAUCGGUGUUGCUCUAUUCAUUGAAGAGACUGAACAAGAAAAUAAAAGAGCUAGGGGUCGAAGAAAAGAUCUAAUCCCUAGCUACCUUCCAAUAAGAUAUGACCCUCAUGCAAGCUAUGCACAAAAUCCUAUGAAAGAUUCAAGAUAUGGUCAAUAUGCAUAUCCAUAGGUACCACAGCUUAAUUUUGUGCAACCUUUGGCUUCAAAAGAACCUCCUCUUUUAGCACCUACUACUUAUAAUCUUGUAGUAACUUUGGAGAGAUUAGAUAUUGACAAGGCUGGAAAAGCACGAGAAGAUAGAAUGCUUAAGGCCAUAGAAACUUUAGAAGAAUAGAUUUCAUGCUUGAUGAAGGAUGGAAGAAGGCCUCUAUCAUUUCAAUAUGAAUCAGGAGCUCAUACAACAUUAUUAUGGUAUCCAAGUUGUAGACAACAAGGUCAUUCAAUGCAAAAUUGUCCCUAUGCUCGACAAUUUCAAGAUGUAAGGUAAGCUAGUCAAUUACUACCACCUUAUAGGCCUCUACAUCUUCACCAAGGCAAAGAGGCUUCUCAACUACAAAAACAAAGAUAUCCACUAUGUAGAACAUGUGAAAAAUUCCAUAUUCUUGAUACAUGGUAGAUAGAAAAUAGAAUUAAGUAUUCUACUUAUAGAGGAAUUCAUCUAUUAGACCGAUACACAUGACUUAAUAAAGUCAUUCCAUUGCAACCACCAACGGGAGAUUAUGUAAGACAAGCGGUAGAAAAUUUGUAGGGUAUAAGGUAAUUGGGGCCUGAAUUACAACCAAAAAGACCACCUAAUCUAUAUUAUGAUAGAAAGAGUGAUAAACAAACACAUCAUCUACCAAUGGCUAUGCAAACUUUACUAGGUGUGGUUCCUUUAUCACAUAGACAAAACUCUCAAGAUAAUUGUUGUAUGGAGCCUCAAAAAUUACCAAUACAAGGUAUCAAUUUGAUAUCUGCAAUACCAAUUGAGAACUUAUUAUCCAAGUUGCACUUACCAACUUUGGUGGUUAUACGAGGAGGUGCUAGAACUACUCCCUUAGGACCGAGGGAAGAAGAAGUGGAAGACGUGAAAUCCACAUCUUCAUCAGAAGAAUCACUUCAGUUCCAAGAAUUGAAUAAGACCGCUAAAGAAACAACAAAAGAGGUGCAAUUUGAAGAUACAUAUUAGAUGGAGCUAUCUGAUCAUGAUGAAUUUCAAUUUGUAAAUGACAAUGAUUUCAAAGCAUCCUUCUUAUCAAAGACUAAAGGUAAGAAAUCCAAGGUGAACAAUCCAGCAGACCUUUAUGAUUUGUGGAAAGACCUAGCCUGUGUAAAGGUAAAUAUAUCUUUUGGAUAAUUCAUCUAACUAAUGCCUUUAUUACAAAAACAAUUAAAAGAAGUUGCUACAAUACCAAGGCAAUCUAAGAAGUUUGGAGAAUCUCGAAGGAUUGAAGAAAAAGAGUUGAAUUGGCUUAAUUCAAAAGAAAAUUAUAAUACAGUUGAAAUAGAAGUGGAGAUUGCAGAUAAAUUCAUAUCAAGUACUAUUGUAGAUGAUGGUAGUAACGUCAAUAUUAUGCUCCUAUCCACAAUGUUGAAUUUGAGACUCCAAGUCACACACCGUUCUAUUUUCAAUUUGAAGACCGCAGACUAAGGAAGUUGCAAGCCACUGGGUAUGAUUAAAAACUUAAGGGUAUGAUUAAGAACUUAAGAAUUAGGACCGGUGGAGUUGAUUAUAUCUUCAAUUUUGAAGUAGUGAAGAUGAAAGAAGAAGAAGGCAGUUAUCUACUAUUAUUAGGCUAGAGGUUUUUGAUAAAAUAUAGAGGCAUUGUAAAUUAGUUAUCAAAAAGACCAUACUUUAUUUACGGAAGUCAAGAAAAUAGAACAACCAUAUUAAUUAAGCCUGUAUUCUUCAUAAAGAGAGGUGAAGAAAUGGUAGUAAGACAAAAAGGCUCUGGAUCUUUGUUGGUAGGAUCUUCCACAGACCUAGGAUCUAUUAAGUGCAUUGGACCGGAUUUAUAUGAUUAUGAAGAUGAUGGAAGUUUUGCACAAUAGUUGGCAGAGAAUCCCUAUUUGGAAGAGGAACAAUCAGUACACUUUUUAGAAGCAAUACCAAUCAUAGAAGAGUCCUCAGAUUCUUUUUGUUGGAAUAUGGCUACGUUGGUUGAGGAGGUGGAAGAAAAAGAAGCCCUCCGAUUUGAAAUAGAUGAUACACAAUUAGAAGAGUUUAAAGCUUUAAUGCAAGAUGAAGACAUUCAACUCCCUUUGAACUUCAAAAAGACUUCAAGUGGCAUCCAAGUAGGCCAUACUCUCUCAAUCUAUUCUUCGGUAUCGAAGGAUUGGUACCAUGGAUCUACAAACCAUGUGCAUGUAUGUUCUUCUGAUUGGCAAGAGAUAGAUAUGGCACUAAAGAGAAAAGAGCCCAAAUUAAUUAAGAUUGGCUCUCAUUUAACACAUGAAGAGGUAUGUAGAAUAGAUAUUAAUUCGUUUUUGAAAGAUAUUGAUAAAAUAUAUUAAUAGUCCAUAUAAUAGGAAAUUCAAGAGGACGGAUGAGUGAUUUAAUUCAUAAAAGCAAUUAAUUACAGAAUUACGAUUAGAAUCUGGAGAAUCAAGGGAAAGUAUAUAGGAGUUGUAGAGGUUAAUUAAGGUGCCAGAUUGUAAUAGUCAUGAGCCGAAGGCCAUCGUUGUGAUAGUGUGAGCCGGGGUAAGCUUCGUGCUACCUCUUUUCUUUUGUUUGUUAUUUUCUUUGAAUAAGAGGAUUGAGAGUUUUUGAAUAUUGUGAAGUGAAUUAUGGAAUGGAAAUGUGAUUGGUAUUAUUUGAGAAGAAGAAAGAUUGAAUGCUGAAAUUUGAUUGUAGUUCAGUAGAGAGAAUGAGUAUGUGUUUGUGUGAAACACCAUAAUGUGAAUGGCAGUUCUAUGUGAAGAAUUCCAGUGAUUGGAAUGAAGGUAACUGUGUGUUGAAACCUAUGAGGGCGCAGUAUUACAGUUGGAGAUUAUGAAGGUGAAUAUAUUAGUGGAAAUAGUAGUUAUUGGUAUGACUGAAUUGCUGUAAGGAAGAGACCGAUAAGGUGAAGGAAGAGAUUAUAGUUUCUUUGUGUAAUUAGAUAUUAGAAAUAGAGACGAUACAUUCAAGAGGUAAUUGAUUGUGUGACCCUAAUGUGAACACUAUUGUACUGUAAAUGCUUACAGUAUGUAAAAAUUAGUUAAAACAUAUUAUAUGUUGAUAAAUCUAAAUGUAUGUUAGAGUGGCUAGUAGAUUAAAUUAAAAGGAGUUGGAAUAAGAAACUUUACAUUGUUCUUUAUUUCUUUUGAUUUUGACAUUAAUAUAUAUAUAUAUAUAUAUAUAUAUAUAUAUAGGACCUUAAUGUUUAGUAUGAAACCUUAGGAAAAGGUAGAAACCUAAGGAUGAAAAUCUAAACUAGUAGGAAGCUAAUUGGCAGGGAUGAAAGCAAGGCAUGGUCGCAUGAAGGCAAGGAAUGGGGGACUUCAUUCCUAUUGGUCGAAUACCAUGCCCAAUGGACUUUAAGGAGGCUGCCUGUAAUUUUAAGAAGGAUUUUGGCAACUUUAAAGGAGGCAUUCGGAGAUUAGAAGCUAGGUUUGUAAAUUUUAGGAUUUGAAGAACAAUUUGUGUACAAAAAUUAGAGGAUUUGGACUUAGGAUGAAAAUGUUAAUACUGUUUGAAGUUAAGGUGUUUAUUUAAGACAUACUGUUAUUCUUUUGAAAGUACGAGGAGUUUUACAGUAGCUUUUGAAGAUCGGAAGGUGCGACUGGAACGGCGAUUUCAAGGCCUACAUCUUGCAUAAAAGAAUUAUUACUUUUGGAGUCCAUAUCAAAGAAUUAUAAGGAGUUGAAAGCAACACUUCCAAAUCAAAAGUAGUAAGUAAGCGGGUUUUUUUUGUAGUAAUGGUUGGAGCCAUAACUUGAGUUUUUGAACGAAUUUUUGGCUCAAAAUUUUUAGAAAAUGUAAAACUUUGUGUUAAAAAGCCAUACAUAUAAAUUUCGUAGCAUUUGAGCUUAUAUUUUGUGAGAUAUGAAGAAAAUUGCAUGUGGAUGUAUAAAGACAAGGGUUUGAAGCAAUUGUUAGGGAUUUCAAGAUAUCUCAAGAUCUACAAUGAAUUAGCGGUUGAAAACUGUUGUAAAAAUUAAUAAGAAUACAUCAGUACCUCAUGUAAAAUUUGAAUUUGUUUCGACGGUCGGAUUAAGAGAUAUGAGGUGUUGAAGUUUGAAAAAAUUUCCACAUAAGAAUAAACAAGGAUUUAGAAGAUUUUAUCAUAUUUUGGAAGUUGUGGGUUACUUGAGGAUUGUGUAUCUAGUGUAAUUACUCAAAAAGAGAAAAAUUAUAUAUAAACUUAGGACUUCCCUUAUUUUCAAGCUUGAUUGAAUAAUUAGUGACAGCCAGAAGCCAAACAUUUUUUUGAAGCAAACUCUCUCUACCCCAACAACGCUUAAGCAACUAGUUAUUUUCCAUGUUCGAAUCCUCCUAUACGGGUUUAUUCUGGGAAGUUUCUUCCAAAAUAAGUAAAACAAGCAAUCACAUUUUGGCGCCACUGCCAAGGAGUGAUAAUAGCUUUGAGUGUUAAGAAUUAAUUACCAAAUGUGUGUUAAAAUUGGCAAUGGAAGGCGAUUUCAAUAGUGUUUGAAGCAAGAUUAUGGUUAAUAAGAACGAGAGCAUUGCAUUGAGAAAAAUAAAUCAAUUGAGAAAAAGACAGGGAAGAGCGCAAGGAAGGAAAUUGCUUAGAGAUGAGCAAGAACGUAAUCUUAAAAGGAAGCAUCGAUAGAAUUAGAUUAAACCAUGGUUGCAAGCUUAUCGAUGCAUCCAAACAUAUCAAGAAUUGGACAGACAAGUAAUUCUGCAGUCGUAUGUACCGUUAGAAAAACUGCCAAGAACACUUGUGGGAAAUUUUAUUAACAUUCCAGUGGAAAUCUUGAGGCCGUUAACUGAAAGAGAAAGAGGCGUAGAAGAAUUUGGUACUCUAUUGGAUAUUUUUCUAGUAGAGGGUACUGCUGAAACGAGCAAUAGUGGCUCUUCAGAUUAGCACAAAUUGGUCGCCAAUAAAGAUAACUAUAUUGUAUUUCAAAAUCCGAUGUUUUUACCUGCAGAUCAAUCAAUAAAACUAAUUACGGAAAAUAACAAUAAAUCAAGGAAUAAUAAGAGCUUAGAAAUUAGAAUAAAAAAAAGCAGAGAUUAUUUUAAAAUGGAGUUUAGCGAAACAAGAAAUUCAAUGGUGUUAGGAGGACCAGCCAUUUCGAUUGCAGUACAAAUUGGUGCAAUAGGUGAUCGUACGACUAGUAUCACGCCACUACCUACUGUUCGGAGAUUUUUGGAUGUAAAUCUUGAUCAACAUUUAUCUCAAUUUCUUACAGCAUGUAUAGCUAAUAAUGGCAGAACUGAAGAUAUUUGGUUGCGAUGGCUGCCAGCGACCUUAAAAGACACGAUGUUUGAAUGGUACAACCGCCAACCAGUGGGGCAAUUUUCGAAUUGGGAAGCAUUGAAGAAUACAUUUUUAUCUCAAUUUUGGCCAAUUGGUUUUGAUGACCGCCUUCGAGAGAGGUUAAUGAACAACAAAAUGAUCCUAGGGAGGUGAUGGAAUCGUACUAUGGCCGAGUGGUUGAUAUACUCAGUAAGUGGCCGAAUCACCAAAUGCUAGAGGUAUUUAUCUUACCCAUAUUAAUCAAUAGUUUGCACCCACAAGAGCUAAAAAUGUUUGUAAAGGAAGCUCAAACUGUUAUGGUGGCUGCAUCCCUUAAUAGAGCCAAGGUUUGGGAGGAAUGCCAUUAUGAUCAGUUUUUAAGUCCGGGAGCCACAAUAAUUUUAGUUCAAGGUAGAUAUCAAAAUCUGACUUGGAAUGAAUCAGUGGGUAGUUAUCCAUGGAUGUUAGAAACAUGGGCCAAUUCCAAUACCAAUAUUCAGGGGCUAGUUAACGUCACCCCAUUGCAAGCUAUACCACCGAACGUGACAACAGCAUAUGCUCCAUAUUUUCCGUUGUCGUGUUGUAACACGAGUAUACCGUGAAAAUAUAAAGAAAGGGGACUUUUAUUAAUGUUCAGUUACCUCGAAUAUUAGGAGCAACGACCAACUCCAGUGCAAAUACUGAGUGGCCAGGUUCAGUCACCCCGUUACAUUUAGCCAAGACAUACUGAAAUGCUCCGUUCGAUUCCAAUAACGGGAGUCAGCAGGAAGGGAAAGGACCAAUUCACGCGACGGGUGAGCUUGGUUCGAAGAGCCAAUUGGAUCCAAUUUUGAGAAUCCAAUCCGGGUCUUAAUACUGGGCUCUUAUCCAAUAUGAGAUCUGAAUUGGCCGGGCAACCCAAUGCAGUCUAAUUACGGGAAAAUCUAGGUCUUACUACGAAUCUUAGCCAAUCUGAUGCGAAGACCAAUUGGACCCAAUUACGCAAACAUCCAAAUUACUACUGGCAUCUUAUCCAAUAUGAGACCUGAAUUGGUCGCGCGAUUCAAUGUAGACCCGAGUACGGGGUUUCGAUUCUGUUUCAAGCUGUCCUAUUCUCUGUGCCAUUUCAAGGAACGUUGUUUUCGGUAAAUAGAUCUCUUAAAGGUAAAAAUGGAGGAGAAAGCUUUGAUGGCGAGAGCCAAUUUCGGAUCUAAGCUCUGACGGUGGGAGCCAAUUCCGGAUCCAAGACGAAAGAUUGAAGAAAUUCAGAGGAUAAGGUUAGUAUGAGAAUAAGUUUUGGAGAGGGUUUUUUUUUUCAUAUUAGAGGGGAGGGGGGGGGAUUUUUGGAUCGAAGAGCUAGCUUCAAGUUUUUUUCAAGGUUACUAGUUCGGUUUUUAUUGGAGGUUUUUGAAGAUUAAGGGGAUUGGAGAGGAGCUUCAUGCUUUGGGUCGGGGAAGAAAAGACGGAGAAUUGGAUUUUUCUUCUUCAUAGAGUUUUGGGAAGACUGAGGCAAUCGUUGCUGAAGUCAGUAUUGUAAUGGUGAAUCGAGAUUUUUAAUGAAGUGGGUGGGGUUACUCCUAACUGUUUGUGAAAUCGAGUUACGUCUGUGAUUGAAGGAUUAAAAGGGUGUCUAUAGGAUUGAGUAUGUGGAGUGAAUGAAAUUUAUUGGGUUAAUCUAACAAGACAGUCAGUGGAUACAAGAUUGUAAGUACAAAGCGGUAUCAGAGAUUAGCAGAUUGGGUUGUUCGGGGUUCUCUGUUAUGUCUAGAGACCUACCGGCUGGGACAAAAGGGACUUUGACAAGCAGUCGAAGGGCAUCCGUAUAGAUUUACGGUGUAUUCUUGCAGUCGUUUAUAUUUCAGCAGUCAAAAACUGAUAGACUGCUUGAUUAUUGGCGAAUCUCCAUACUACCUUCUACUGCCAGAUGCCCGGCGCGUUCUCGAACAAGAAAGCACGUAAUACGACACCGUAUCAACAACAAGCGUUAACUACGGCAGAGAUACGAAUAAUGUCAGGCCUAAAAGAUUCCAAUGAAAUCUUGUUAUUGAAUUUGACGAAGAAAAUGGAGGAAAUGGCCGUCAAUAUGGUCAAAGAUAAGGAGAAGAGGCAAAAGUCUACCAAUACUAGGACCAAUGUAUGGUGCGGUAAUUGUAAGGGCCACGGUCAUUCUGUAAAAGAAUGCUCCUUACCCUCACAAAUAAUGGAUCAAUGUACAUUUUAUCAAGGAAAGCACCUAACAGCAAAUUGUUGGAAUUGGUAAAGACAACAACAAUAAUUUAGUAAUCAGACCAUGUUCCCACCAACCCAGUGAGACAUCAAUCAAGUGCAAAUAUGAAAUACGUUUGGAUGGAAUGGAAAUCGAUUCAAUCGACAAAAUCGAGCAUUCAAUAACUUUCAAAGUUCCAAUUUAAAUCAAGGGUCUGUAUCGAACCCCCAGAACUAUGGUAAGAAGCAGUAGAUGUAUCAGCAAUAUGCUCCACCGACGUCAUUAAACCAAGUUCUCUUAGUACCAACGGUGUUGGGAUAGAGAGGUUUUGCCUCAAAAAAGCGCUGGGCUUCUGGCUGUCACUAAUUGCUCAAUCAAGCUUAAAAUAAGGAAACCCUAAUUCUAUACAUAUAAGUUCUCUUUUUGGGACAAUUACACCAAAUACUUAAGUCUUAAAUAACCAACAACACCCAAAAUAUGGUAGAAGUACUCUAAAACCUUGUAUAUCCUUGAGUAGAAAUUCUCCCGAAACUCAACACCUCAUAACUCUUGAUCCAACCGUCCAAACAAGAUCAAAAUUUACAUGAAGUACUGAUAUGUUGUUAUUAAUUUGUACAACAAAUUUCAACCGCAAAUUCGUCGCGGAUCUUGAGAUGUCUUCAAAACCCUAAUAGUCGCUUCAAACCCUAAUCUUUAUAUACCCGCGCGCAAUUUUCUUCAUAUCUCACAAACCAUAAGUCCAAAUGCCACGAAACUUAUAUAGAUAGCUUUUUAACACAAAUUUUUACAUUCUCGCAAAGUUUGAGUUAAAAUUUCGUUCGAAAACUCAAGUUAUGGCUCCUAACACUACUUUGAACAAAACCGUUCACUUACUGCCAUUGAUUUGAAUGCACUGUCUUUAACUCCCUAUAACUCCUUUAUAAAAACUCCAAAUGCAAAAUUUCCUUCGCAAAAGAUGUAUGUCUUGAAGUUGCCCUUCCAGCCGCACCUUCCGAUCUCCAAAAGCUUCCGUAAGACUCCUCUUAAACUCAAAAGAGUAACAGUAGGUCUCAAAUUGACACCUUAACUUCAAACGGCUAUAACUUAUUCACCCUAACUCCAAACCCUAUAAAAUUUGCACAAAAAUUGUAUCCAGAACCCUAAAAUUUACAAUCCUUGCCUCUGAUUUCCUAAUGGCUUCUUUGAAGUCGCCGAAACCCUUAUCCAGGUCGUGGGUAGCCUCCUAAAAGCCCAUUGGGCAUGGAUUUCGACUAAUGGGGAUGAAGAUCCUUAUUUCUACCUUCAUCCAACCAUGCCUUGGUUUCAUCCCUCCCAAUUAACCUCCUAUUAGUUUAAAUCUUCAUCUUUAGGCCCCUAUCUUCUCUCAAGGCUUCAUACUUAACAUUAAGGUUCUAUAACUUUUAUAUACUAUAAUCAAACUAAAUAAGGAAAACAAAAUAAAGUUUUUUUUUUUUUUUUUUUUACCAACUCUUUUUAAUUUAAUCUAUUAAUCACUUUAACACACAUUUAGAUUUAUUAACAUAUAAUAUGUUUUAAUUAAUUUUUAUAUACUGUAAGCAUUUACAGUACGACAACGGGACGACCAAGAUCAUUUUCUAACCCUACAUGGAACAAGCCUAGUAGAUAUAUACCGAUGGAGGCACCCAAUAUGCCUAAUGGUGGUGGAAGAAGACCACUUCGUUGUUUCCAUUGCAGAUAGAUUGGUCAUUAUGCCAAUGAAUGUCCUAAUCCAAGGGCCAGUGAUGACUUUGCUCCAAUAUGUAGAAAUUAUAAGCAGUCUGGUCACACUUAUCAAUAGUGUAAUGCGCCCUUUAAUUAUAAUAACCGAGACUAGCAAAUGCAAACAAGCCAACCGGCGGAAGACAAAAGCCUUGUUCAACGAGACACCAGUACAUCAUAUCGAGGUGGUGAACGCAGUGCUUAUCAAAAGCCAACAAAAACAAAAGAAUCCAAUUCAAGACAUAGAUGAACAAAUCGCAAGAGAGCAAGUAGCGCCGUCCAUGGGACUAAAUGAACCAAUAUCAGUAUUGGAACGUAUCCCAAUAUUGAGACUUCAACAGACUAAGGAACCUAAUUUGGUUCCACGUGCCAAUUGGUCGGGACCAUCCAAUCCAGGUCAUGUUAUGGGCUUCGUACCUAGUAUGAGACCUGACUUAGUGGCACAACUCAAUGAGGUCUCAAUAACGGAGGCUUCGGUUCCGAUCCAAGCAAUUUUGAUCUCUAUGCAGUUCCAAGAAACGUCCUAUCCGUUGAAAGAUCCUCUACGGGGUGGAAAUUCCAAAGAAGCCCGACUGUUGUUCCAAUUUCAAGUUCAUGUUAGGGACAUAAUCCUUAGAACCUUCUAGAGACAAGUUUCUAGAACCUUCUAGAGACAAGUUUCUAGAACCUUCUAGAAGCAAGUCUCUGGAACCUUCUAGAAGCUUCCUAGUUGAUAGAAGUUGGUUGAGAAGCUUCCUAAAUAGGAGUAUAUAUUAGAAUCGAGGCUGAAGAGUUCUUCAGUCUCGACAACACAUCUCUUGGAGCUCUAGCUCAUCUCUCUGGUGUUGUUCUCAUCUGAUUAAUUUAGUUCUUGUCAGUUCUUUUUAAACUUCUUGUUAGUUCUCGAGUCUGUAUUUCUGUGUCCAUGAUAGUUUGUCGAGACUACACUCACCUCAGAUAUCAGAGCUAGUUUUUCUUUAUUAGAGUGUGGAUUACCCCUCUGUUUGGAAGUGUACUAGCAUUUUAGAGGUUGCGGAUUACCCUCCUCUAAAUUGAUACUUCUUUUGUUAGAAUAUUGGAGUCUUAUUCUUCUUGGAAAGAGUGGAUUACUCUUUCUCUUGAAGCUCUUAAGGCAUUUUUGAGGUUGCGGAGUACCGUCCUCUAAACCAAUAUUAUCUUCUUGUAGAGUCAUUUUUGUCCUUCUCUUAGAAUGGCCGAGGGCCAAGACAUUAGUAUGACGGAAAGUUCGGAGUUCAAGUUAGAUGCUAUCAUGAAUGCCCUCUCUACGUCAUCGCAAAGAACUGCAGAGAUUGAAGGAGUCGUGGCAAGGCUUCAUAAUGAUGGAGCAUUUGGGAUGGUACAAUCUAAGUUGCACCAGCCUCAAACUACUGCACUUGGAGAAGCAACUUUGCCUCAGGUUCGACAAGCACCACUGAUUCUACAACAUAAAGAGUCCUGAGUUAGCCUUCCGGACAAGUUCGAUGGUAUGCAUUCUAAGUUUCGAAGAUUUGUCAAUCAAAUCAGGUUGAUAACAGUUUUAGAGUCCGAGCGCUAUCCAACGGAAGAGUCACGUGUUGGGCUUGUUGGAACCUUAUUUACAGAACAAGCUCUAUCAUGGUUUGCUCCUUUGAUUGAGAAAGGAUCGUCCAUACUAAACAACUUUGAAAUCUUUUUGGAGGCAUUUGCGGAAGCAUUUGGUGAACACGACAAGGUUCGAUGGGGUAUAACAAAGAUCCGGUCACUAUGACAAGGGAUGCGCUCUACAUCAGUCUAUGCAUCGGACUUCAAGCAAUUAACAUGCGACAUCAAUUGGGACGAAGAAGCGUUGAUGAGUCAAUUCUAUUGGGAUUUAAGGGACGAUGUGAAGGAUUUGCUGUUAACUCUUCCUGAUCCACAAACGCUCAACAAAGCUAUUAGCUAAGCUGUGAAGUGCGAUAACUGCCUAUUCUAACGCUGCCAAGACUAAUGUUUAAGACAACAUACGGUUCGCCACACCCCAACUAUGUCAGCAAGCAAUGUGAAUUCACAUUCAGAGGUAGAAGACAUAUAAAUUGGUGCGGUACGUGUCAAAUUUCUUACUCCAGAAGAAAAAAAGCGACGUAUGGAGGAAGAUCUAUACUUGUAUUGUGGUGAAGAAGGCCACAAAGUUGGAAACUGUCCCAAGAAGCAAAAUCGACGUAUUGUCAAGACUAGAGGUGUGUUUACUAAAGAAAAUGAGGAUGCCUAGCCACAAUAAGAACCGUGCAGCUGGGCAGUAAAAUAUUGCAACAACAACCAGGUUCUUUUCUUUCCGCUCAACCUGCCCUUUGUUUUAGAAUCCUUUUGUUUAUUGGCCCUCAGAAACUAAGAACUUUAACAUUAUUAGAUUCAAGAGCAUCUGCUUAUUUUUUAGAUGAAGAAUUUGCAAAGCAUCAUAAGAUCCCUUUAGUAUAAAAAUCCAAACCUGUUCACGUUGAGGUCAUAGAUGGGCGACCUUUAUUGUCUGGUAGUAUCACCCAUGAAUCAGAACCUAUUGAAGUGACGUUUAAGGGCCAUAGUAGUCAUAUUAUUUUCAAUAUUAUUAGAAUUCCAUCAAAUCCUAUUAUUCUUGGUCUUUCCUGGUUGAAAAAGCAUAACUCAUCCAUAGAUUGGAAGUUGUAUAAGAUGACCUUUCCCACAAAACCACCUAAAAGCAAGUCUAGUAAAAAACCCCGAAUAGAGAAAUCCUUAUUUAUUGAAGCAAGAGCAUUUAUAAGAUCAUCCAAGAAAGGCACACCAUUUGUCAUUUAUGCGGCUCCAACUACUGGGGUGAAGAUCUCGACAACAAGUAUACCGGAGCAAUAUAAGGAUUUUAAAGACAUGUUUCAAAAGAAAAAUGCCAACAUGCUACCAGAACACAGACCAUAUGAUUGCGCCAUAGACUUAUAGGAAGUAGCACAACUACCUUUUGGCCCAAUUUACAAUCUAUCGCAGAUAGAAUUGGUGGAGUUACGGAAGUACAUUGACAAGAAUCUAGCCAAGAACUUCAUCCGUCAUUCAAAAUCGUUGGCUGGAGUAUCCAUCUUAUUUGUGAAGAAGAAAGAUGGCUCAUUACAGAUGUGCCUGGCGCACUUUGUUCCUUACAAGAAGACAUUAUCCAGUGAAGUCACAGCAAGGCUCUUUCUUGAUAAUGUGUAUCGAUAUCAUGGACUACCAGAUGAUAUCGUAUGAGAUCGAGGAACCCAGUUCAUAUCAAAGUUUUGGAGAUCUCUCUUUGAGAUACUGAAGGUGGAUAUCAAGCUUUCUUCGGCUUUUCAUCGUCAAACUGACGGCCAAAUGGAACGGGUGAAUUAAGUCUUGGAACAAUACUUACGAUGCAGCAUCAACUAUCAGCAAGACGAUUGGACCACAUAUCUGCUGCUAGCCGAGUUUGCAUAUAACAACACCUUCCAUGCGUCGACUCAAUACAUACCAUUCUUUUUCAACUAUGGGUAUCAUCUAAAGCUUGAUUUAUUGAGUCUGUCAACAAAUAACAAUCCAACAGCUGAAGGAUUUGUAAAACAACUAUCAGAGCUUCAAAAUAUGUUGAAGCUUCAAUUACAAUCCGCUCAAGAAUCCUACAAGGCGUUUGCAGAUAGAUUUUGAAAUCAAGCACCUACUUUCAAAAUUGGAGAUAAAGCAUGGCUUCUUCGAUGGAAUAUCAAGACCAAGCAACCAUGUGAUAAGUUGGACUAUCGAAGAUUGGGACCAUUUAUCAUCCAGAAGCAAAUCAAUCCAGUGGCGUAUCGUCUGGAAUUACCGGCUUCUAUGAAGGUACAUCUCGUCUUUCAUGUUUCUUUGUUAGAGCCUUAUCGAGAGUCAACUUUUCCUGGAAGAUUGCAAUGUCCGCCACCUAGUAUUGAGAUUGAGAACCAUAAAAAAUACGAGGGUGAAAAGGUACUGGAUUCACGACGAAGGUGGGGCAAGUUGGAGUAUCUUGUUCAUUGGUGCGGCUACGACAUUAAUGAGCGAACAUGGAAGCCAACUAAAAAUCUCGCCAAUGCGCCACAAAAGGUACAGGAGUUUCAUCAACAACAUCCUCAUAAACCUAAGCCGGUUUGACGAUAGCUUCCUUUUGAAGCUUGCUCAUCCACGAAUAUAAGAAAGGGAGAGAGCACUACCAAAAUUUGUAGUUGAUGUAGUUAUUUUUUCCAAGAUAAAAUAGAAUUUUUUCAAUAGCCAUAGUUUGGUCUUCUGAUAUGGAUAGCCAAGAGAUAGAUACUAUGCUAGUCAGAUUAUCUCAACUGACUAGCUCACAAAGGCGACCCCAAGAUAAAGAACUGCCUACACCAUGACGACGACGGAGGAUACCGAGUAACCAAUUAUUGGUGAUUUUAUUUGAGUCCAAGCCUGCUUACGAUGGUCAGCCAAAAGGCGUGUAUGCUGGACAAUUUCAUAAUGAGGAUACGGAAGUUCAUGCUUGGUCAGAAGUUGAAGGAGUGGGCCACUACCGUGGGCUUCAAGGGUCGAUGAAUCACUUGCCUCGUGAACAACAGUUGGAGUUCAUAGCAGACGUUAUGUGACAGAUCUUCAUUUUCUUACGUUGGUACUGAUUAACAACAACAUUGCUUCUCAAAGACCUCGAAGCUAAAAGAGGGAGUGAUAUUAAGGACAUAAUCUUUAGAAUCUUCUAGAGAGAAGUUUCUAGAACCUUCUACAAACAAGUUUCUAGAACCUUCUAGAAGCAAGUCUCUGGAACCUUCUAGAAGCUUCUUAGUUGGCAAAAGAUAUUAGAGACAUAGUCCUUAGAACCUUCUAGAUAUAAGUUUCUAGAACCUUCUAGAAACAAGUCUCUGGAACCUUCUAGAAGCUUCCUAGUUGGUAGAAGUUACUUGAGAAGCUUCCUAAAUAGAAGUAUAUAUUGGAAUCGAGGCUGAAGAGUUCUUCAGUCUCGACAAUACAUCUCUUGGAGCUCUAGCUCACCUCUCUGGUGUUGUUCUCAUCUAAUUAAUCUAGUUCUUGCUAAUUCUUUUUAAACUUCUUGUUAGAUCUUGAGUCUAUAUUUUUGUAUCAUUGACAGUCUAGGGCGAAAGACUAUCUUACAUCACGGAGUAAAAUCAAAAGCAAUGAAAUGCAAAAGAACAUUGGAAAUUACUCUCAAUAUGGAAUCCUACGAUAUUCUGAAGGAUUUGGAUGUUAUUCAGCCUUGAAUUACAAUGAAGCAACUUUUGGCUGUAGCAUUGGAAUGUUGAUCUAUAUUCAAUUCAGUGCUAAUACGAUGAAGAUCCCGUACUAAAGAAAUUCAUGAAGUUAACUUAAACCCAGAUCCGAGAGCACCAACAAUCGAUGUAUCAAUCGAUGGCAUUUUAAUUCCAAGGAUACAAGUCGAUGGUGGUUCCAGUGUGAAUUUAAUGAACGCGGAUACAAUGGAGGAUUUGGAUCUAAUGCAAUUGCUAUCUACGACAUUGAUCUUGUAUUUGGCAGAUCAUAGUCGGAUAAAGCCAAUGGAAAUCUUAUGAAAUAUUGCCACUGUAAUCGUGGGAUUGACAUACAAAAUCGAUUAUAUUAUAUUUUGAUUAUUGAGUUCUAUGUUAUUGUAUCCUACUUUAUUGAGCAAACCUUGGCUUUAUCAAGCCAAAGCUAAGAACAAUUGGAGCUGUGGCACAUUGACAAUUCGAAAAGGCUGGGAUUUGAUUAUUAUAUAUUAUUAAAAUUGGAUGCUCAAGUCCGUGUACUACGUGAAUAUAAUGAAGAUCUCUCAAACCAAUUGAGGAAAGAAUCGAUUGACUCACGGAAGAAGAAGAAGAUUUGUAAUUGGAACCGGAAUCAGUAGAACCAAUAACAGAUACUGCGGAAAUUGAUUAAUUAAAUAGGCUAGAGGGAUCGCAAGUUUUGUGGAGAUUUGUAAGAUAAUUUUUAAAUAGGUAUCAAAUGAAUGUUUGCGAGGACGCUGCACAGAUAGGAGUGGAGCUAUACAAAAUAGAUAUUAAUUCAUUUUUGAAAAAUAUUAAUAAAAUAUAUUAAUAGUCCACAUAAUAGGAAAUAUAGGAGGAUGGAUGAGUGAUUUAAUUCUUAAAAGUAGUUAAUUAUAGAAUUACGGUGUCGUAUUACGUGCUUUCCUGCUCGAGAACGUGUUAGAUAUCUAGCUAUAGAAGGUAGUAUAGAGAUUCGCUAAUAUUCAAGCAGUCUAUCGGUUUUUGACUUUGGAAUAUAAACAACUACGAAAAUAUACUGUAAAUCCAUAUGGAUGUCGUUUGAUUGCUCGUUGAAGUCCUUUUUGUCCCAGCCGGUAGGUCUCUAGACAUUACAGAGAACCCCGAACAACCCAAACUGCUAAUCUUUGAUACCGCUUUAUACUCACGAUCUUGUAUCCACUGACUGUCUCAUUAGAUUAAUCCAAUAAAUUUCAUUCACUCCGCACACUCAAUCCUAUAGACACCUUUUUAAUUCUUCAAUCAUAGACGUAACUUCGAUUUCACAAAACAUUCAAGAGUAAUCACACCCACUUCAUUAAAAAUCCCGAUUCACCAAUACAAUACCGACUUUAGCAACGAUUGCCUUAGACUUCACAAAACCCUACGAAGAAAAAAAACCUCAAUUUUCUAUCUUUUUUCUCCUCCCAAAGCAUGAAGCUAGCUCUCCGACCCUUCUAAAAAAAUCUUAUUCUCUCUCCCUUCAUUUCUUAAUCUAUCCUCUCUUUUAACCCUAAUUCUCUCCUUUUUCAAAUCCUAGCCUCUAAAUUUCUUCAAUCUUUCGUCUUGGAUCCGGAAUUGGCUCCCGCCGUCAACGCUUUCUCUGACCAAUUCAGGUCUCAUAUUGGCUAAGAGGCCCAUAAUAAGAUUUGGAUUGGAUGUCUUGAAAUUGGAUCCAAUUGGCUCUUCGAACCAGGUUCACCUGUCAUUGAGUUGGUCCUUUCUCUUUCAGCUCACUCUUGUUAUUGGAAUCGAACGGAGCAUUUCAGUAUGCCCCAACUGACUGUAACGGGGUGACUGACCCUGGCCUCUCAGUAUUUGCACUGGAAUUGGUCAUUGCUCCCAAUAUUCGAGGUAACUAAACAUUAAUAAAAGUCCUCUUUCUUUAUAUUUUCACGGUAUACUCGUGUUAUAACACAACAACGAUUAAAAUCUUGAGAAUCAAGGAAAAGUAUAUAGGAGUUGUAGAGGUUAAUUAAGGUGCCAGACUGUGAUAGUCAUGAGCCGAGGGCCAUCGCUGUGAUAGUGUGAGCCGGGGUAAGCUUGGUGCUACCUCUUUUCUUUUGUUUGUUAUUUUCUUUGAAUAAGAAGAUUGAGAGUUUUUGAAUAUUGUGAAGUGAAUUAUGGAAUGGAAAUAAGAUUGGUAUUAUUUGAGAAGAAGAAAGAUUGAAUGCUGAAAUCUGAUUGUAGUUUAGUAGAUAGAAUGAGUCUGUGUUUAUGUGAAAUACUGUAAUGUGAAUGGCAGUUCUGUGUGAAGAAUUCCAGUGAUUGGAAUGAAGGUAAUUGUGUGCUCAAAGCUGUGAAGGUGCAAUAUUACAGUUGAAGAUUAUGAAGGUGAAUAUAUUGGUGGAAAUAGCAGUUAUUGAUAUGACUGCAUUGUUGUAAGGAAGAGACCGAUAAGGUGAAGGAGGAGAUUAUAGUUUCCUUGUGUAUUCAGAUAUUGGAAAUAGAGAUGAUACAUUCAGAAGGUAAUUGAUUGUGUGACCCUAAUGUGAACGCUUAAGCAACUAGUCAUUUUCUGUAUUCGAAUCCUUCUAUACAAGUUUAUUCUUGGAGUUUUUUUUCGAAAUAAGUAAAAUAAGCAAUCACAAGGUGUCUCAGUACAAAGAUUUAAUUAUGGAAUUUAGAAAUGUCUUUACAUGGUCUUAUUUAGAUCUAAGAGGGAUUCUAGCAUACAUUGUGGAACAUCACAUUCCUUUACUUCCUAGUACUAUUUCCAUUAGACAAAAAGAACGCAUGAUGAAUCCAAAAUUGUAACAUAUAGUAAAAGUAGAAUUGGAGCGACUUUUCAAGUUGGAUUCAUUAAACCAGUAGAAAUCACAAGUUGGAUGUCUCCAAUGGUAUUGAUAAAGAAGAAAAAUGGAAAAUUCCAUAUAUGCAUUGAUUAUAGAGCCUUGAACAAGUAUACUUGUAAAGAUCACUUCCCUCUUCCAUUCAUGAAUACCAUUCUAGAUGAAGUGGCUAGACACGAGCUCUAUACUUUUAUGGAUGGUUACUCAAGCUAUAAUCAAAUUUCAAUAGCACCAAAAGACUAUCAUAAAAUAGCCUUUAUCACUCUAUGAGGAACAUUCAUUUAUGUAGUCAUGCCUUUUAGUCUUUGCAAUGCACCAUCUGCAUUUCAACGAGCAAUGACAUAUGCAUUCUCGGACCUCUUAUACAAGUCAAUGAUGGUUUUUAUUGAUGACUUUAGUAUUCAAUUUAAGGCUAUAGACCACUUAAGUUGGGUAAAAGAGGCAUUAACUCGAUGUCAUCAAAUUGGUAUAGCCAUUAAUCCUGAAAAAUUUUAUUUGGUAGUACGACAAGAUGCAUUGCUUGGUUAUAUUGUAUCUCAAGCAAGGAAAGAACCAAACACUGAGAAGGUUAAAGUGAUAGUAAAAUUACAUCCACCAAAAGAUGUGAAUGGAGUACGGAAGGUUUAAGGUCAUAUAGGUUGAUAAAGAGAUACCAUGAACGACUAUGCAACUUCAAUAGCCUCCAUCACUAACCUAAUGAAGAAGGGGACUAAAUUCUAAUAGAGAGAGGAGUGUCAAAGAGGAUUUGAUGAGUUGAAGGAUAAACUCACUAGUUUUUCAGUUCUAAGACCUUCAGAUUGGUCCAAACCAUUUCAUAUAUACUAUGAUGCUUGAGUAGUAGCAUUAGGAAGCGCAUUAUGUCAACCAACUAAUGGAAGCAAGGUAUACUAUCCUAUAGCAUUUGCCAGUAGGUAAUUAUCAGCAGCAGAGAGAAAUUACACUACUACAGAACGAGAAUGUUUGACAAUGGUAUUUUCGACAAAGAAAUUUCGACAUUACUUGUUAAUGAAUCGUGUAGUCUUUUUUGUAGACCACAUGGCUAUCAAAUAUUUGGUGAAUAAGCUAGACUUAAAUGCAAGACUUGCAUGAUGGGUACUACUGCUGGCAGAGUUAGAUUAUACAGUUCAUUACAAGCCAGGAAAGAUGCAUCUCCAAGCAGAUCAUUUGUCAAGAAUUUCUAAUAAAUUGAGAAUGAAGGAUGUAGAUGAUGAGUUUUCAGAUAGUAAAUUAUUCAUGAUAAAGGCCAUUCCUACAUGAUACAAUCACUUGACAAAAUUUUUAUCAUCUCAAACUUAUCCUAAAAGAUUAGACAAAGAAGAGAGGCGAAAGAUUAGGGUGAACAGUACACAUUUCAUUUUAUUAGGUGGAAAGCUCUACAGGAGGGGCAUUGAUGGAAUUCUAAGAAGAUGAAUGAUAUAUGAAGAAGUCCCUAUUAUCCUAGAAGCUUGCCAUGAUAGUGCUUGUGGUGGUCAUUUUUCAGGAAGACUCACCUCACAAAAAAUCUUAAAAGCAGGGUAUUUCUAGCCCACUCUCUUUACAGAUGCAGAGGCCCACGCUCGAUGUUGUGAUACAUGCCAUGGAUAUACACGUAAUGAUCUACACAUGCAAUAGCCUUUGCAUCCACUACUGCCAUUAGCACCUUUAGAACAAUGAAGAAUUGACUAUGUUGGACCUAUAGUAUCCACUUCUUCAAAGAGAAACCAAUUUAUUAUAGUGGCCAUAGAAUACUUGACCAAAUGGGCUGAAGCCAAGGGAGUGAAGUGUUUAGAUAGUAAACAAACUAUAAUUUUUUUAUAUGAAAAUAUCAUUGCAAGAUUUGGAAGCCCAAAAAUCUUAAUAAGUGAUAAAGGAACUCAUUUCCUCAAUGAGAAUGUCAAAGAAAUCACAUCUAUCUUUACCAUCUAACAUCGAAAAACUACACCUUAUCACCCUCAAACCAGUGGAAGAGCAAAAUGAAUGAAUCAAACGUUAGUAAGGAUUUUACACAAAACUGUAGUAGACAACAAGAAGGAUUGGGAUGUGAAGCUCACAGCAGCUCUUUGAGCAUAUAGAUUCACAUAUAAGGUAACUACAAGUACUACACCAUUUGCAUUGAUGUAUGGAAUAGAAGCCAUUUUACUCAUUGAGCUUGAAAUACCUUCAUUACGGAUUGCAAAAAAGGAAAGGUUGGACUGGUCGAGAUCAGUGAAAGAUAAGAUGGAACAAUUAGAAGCUUUGCAUGAGUUUAGAAAAAUGGCAAUCCAAAAUAUUGAGGCCAUUCAAUGCCAAAGAAAGGUAACUUUUGAUAAAAAGAUUAAAAAGAGGGCAUUGGAGCCUGGUAUGUGAGUCAUACUUCAAGAUGCACAAAAAAUGGAAUUCUCAAGAAAAUUUGAUGCUGUAUGGAUUCGCCCUUAUAUUGUGGUGGAUGUCUCCACCAACAACUCUAUACAAUUGAAGACCUUAGAUGGCUCAUUAUUUCCUACACAAACAAUAGGAGAACGGUCUAAAGAAUACAAAGUGUGACAAUAGGAACAAAAUUCUUUUAUGGAUUAUAUUUUUUUAAUAUCAAAUAGUAUGUUGGAGAGAAAAAUAGAAGCUAUAAAAGAUCAAUAUUAAUCAACCCUCAAAGACGGUUGAUUGGGGAUUUAUUAGCAACCACAAAGGUGAAAUACUAGCUAAGUGCCUCUUUUUAUAAUAUUCUUAUUAUAUCUCAAAUUUUUCUUCUUCUCUUAUUCUUUUUUUAUUUCUUUAUAGUUCCAAGAGAGGAUGUUAAUAUUAUGAAGUUAAGCAAGAUAGUAUGAUUUAUAGGGCAUUCACAUAUUUAUUAAAAAUACAUAAAAUUAAAAUAUAAUAUGAAUAUUCUUCCAUGUGUUAGGCCCAAGAUAUAGUGUAGACGGCAUUGAGUGAGUAAUUUUCAUCUUUUGCUCUUAUUAUUCAAUCUUAUUUCACUUUCUUAACUUGUAUUAGAUGAUUUACAUAGAUUAGGUCCAAAUUGCUAAGAAAAAGACAUUGCUUCUCAUGUAGUAAUUAACAACUUCUUAUUUUAUUAUUCUUCUUCCGUUUUCACUUCUUUUUUUUUAAUCCAAAUCCACUUUGAUGGAGGAGGGAGGCCAAUUGAAUUAAUUUAUUAUUUAUAGGUUAGAAUUUGCUCUAAGAAGGGAGGAUAUGGUUAUUUUUAUUUUCAACUUUUUAACUUCUAAUUAUUUUUCUAUAGUACUCCAAAUUGACAUUAUUUGAGGAAGAAGGAUGAGUUCCAAUAUUUUAAUUUAUAAUAUUAAUAAAUGGAUAUUAGAGUUGAGAGGAUUUGAUAUCGGAUUUUAUAUUAUGAUUUUAUUAUUUUUAAGAACCUUAUUCUUCGAAUUUCAAUUGACCAUGUGCCCUUGGAAAAGACACUACCUUCACUUGUAAGAGACUCAAGGGUCCAUUCUAUUUGCAUGGCAAAUAGCCCACAGAUGGUGCACCACAUGUUAGCUCUCAAUUAUACUCUAAAAUUUAAAUUUUUAUUAUUUUCCUAUUUUAUAAUAAUUAAACAUGUUAGAUUAGGAUUUAUAUAAGUAGAAUUCAAUUUUAUAGAAUUUUUAGGAUUACAAUCCCUCAUGAUAUAAAUCAUAGCCUAAUUUUUUGAAUUAGAUUAAUUAGGACUAAAGUGACAAGAGUUAGAAAAUUAGAAUAGCAACUUAGUUAGUUUAAUAAUUUAAAGGUUGUUGGUCAUUACUAUAAGGGUUGACUAAAAGCCAAUGAGUUCGUCUAUAAUAAUUCACAUGAUUUAGGGGUUGGAAUUAUAAUUCUCUAAAAGAUUUAGGAAAGUUAGCAAUGGUAAUUUUGGAUUUUUCCUCCAAAUUCGGCAAAUUUAAGCGGCAUGGUGGUUCUUCUACUUAAUGGGAGUCUCUUUAAUGCAAUGGUGGCACCGGAUUUACUUCGUGGAGUGAAGAAAACAAGGUCAGCAACCUCUCCUUCUAAAUACAAGAGAAGCAAUGAAAUUCUCAUUUUGAAGAAUUUCACAAAAAAAUUGCCAAGAUCCUUAUAAGUAAAAACUUCCAUGGAAAUUAUAAUUGAGCAUGGAUUGGGGCAUAAGAGUAGUCGAUCUUAGCUUAAAAAGGUGUUUUGAACACAAUAGUGAAGUUAGAUUUGCAAAAAAAAUGCCUUCUUAACUACUUACAAGGGCUAUCAGCCUUGGUAACGAGAUUUGGUCUUGGAUGAAUGAAGGCCAUAGAUCUAGAUUAGGAAUCUGAAAAAUCAAGGGUGGAGAUGUAGCCACCCUUCUACGAGCCUCCACUCAAUUGUAUAAGAGAGGCUUGGUUUUCCAAGCCCUCUCUCUCUUCUCUUUUGGUGAAGGAUGAAGCCAUGCUAAAAUUUGGCCAAAAAUCCUAAUUUUAAUUUCAUUUAGAUUUUAAAUCUCAUUAUGAAUUUUAUGGGUGGAUGUGGAUGGAUUUCGAGUUGCGAAUGAUAGUCAUUGGGUCUUAAAACACGUUUCAUUGUGGUGAAUAGCUCCUUUGGCCUCUCAAUUACUCCAAGGAUUUCAAGAGCCUCAGAUUUCCCUCCAUCAGUCAUUCAAUUAUUUUAGUUCUAAUGUGAUUUUUUUUGUGGUUUUAGCUUUUGUUGUUAGCUUUUUGACAAAGAAGUCUCGCUCCAUUCAGAGUUGAAUUAAAUUUUUGGUGAAAUUUUGAGUGUGAGGGGGUUGACAACCUUCGCAGUUUGGAUUAAUCGAGUUUAGGAAGACAUUUAUCAGUGCUUGAUUGCUGGAUUCAUUUGAAAUUUCGGAAGCAUCAAGAUUUAUAAGCUAAGCUUUGAAGGGCAUAAGUUUCGCUGGAUUUGAAGAUAAUUUGAAUUUUUAGCAAAUUUCUAAGUGAAGGGGGUUGGUCGCCGCGGUAGUUUGGAUCACUCAACUUCAAAGGAGCAAUUUUCACGACUGGAUCUAUAGAUUGCAAUGAGAUUUGUUGCAGCAAGGGUGUUGUAUUAUAACUUAUUCUAUUUUUAUUUUUAUUUACUUAUUUUAAUACUCUUACUUUUCUAUUGGUCAAAGGCUUUCAAUCCUAAUUCUUUUAUUAACAUGCAAUGCCUAUCCUUUACUAAUGUCUUUGUCAACAAAUCAACAAGUAUGUCUUUUGUUGCAUAAUACUUUAUAUUAAUCACUCUCAUUUCAAUCUUCUCACUUAUGAAGUAAUGUUAAAUGACAAUGUACUUGGUCUUUGAUGAUGCUUUGGAUUCUUUGUAAGCGCAAAACAUCCUUGAUUGUCACAUUCUAUUGUUGUUUCUAUUUGUACUACUCCAAUGCCCUCCAAAAGUUGUCUAAGCCAUAUUAUCUCCAUUGUAUCAUAAUUUACUACUAUGUAUUCUACCUCCAUUAUUGAUCUUGCAAUUGUUGCUUGUUUCUUGCAAUUUCAUAAAACUGCUUUCAUUCCAAGAAAGAAAACAUACCUCGUUAUUGACCUUCUAUCAUUUGCAACUCUAAUCCAAUCCGCAUUACAAUAACUAUGCAAAGUAAUGUUAUUACUUUCAAGAUAUAAUUUAAAAUAUAAAAUACCUUUUAAGUAUUUCAUAAUCUUUUUAAUGGUUGCCAAAGGGAUUGCUCUAGCCUUUGAUAUGUAUUGGCUCAUAAUACUCACUACAUAUGCAAGAUCCACCCUUGUGCCAACCAUUGCAUACAUAAGUGAGUCUAUUGCUAUCUAAUAUGGAAUAUCUAACAUUUGACCUUCAACUUUAGCAAAUUCUUCAUCUAUGAGCUUCAUCAACAUCAAAUUGGCCUCCAAAGGUUUAUAUGUAGGCUUACAUUUCUUCAUGUUAAAUCGUUUCAACACAUCUUCAAUGUACUUGCUUUGGAUUAUUAUUAUCAUCUUUUUAGCAUAAUCUUUCACAAAUUCCAUUCCUAAACAAUAGUGAAGCUCUUUCAAAUCAAUCAUCUUAUACUUCUUUUUUAACUUUAUUUUCAACAAAUCUAUUAUCUUUAAGAUAUUGGUUAAGAUGAUUAAAUCAUCAACAUAAAAGUUAAAAAUUAAUAUAAAUUCAUUAGAUUGUACUGCUUCAAUAUUACAACCAUAUGAUCCCAAUCUUUCAUGUAUACUUGACAUUGAUGCUUCCGACUUUGCUAUUGGCACAGUUCUUCAAUAAGACUUUGGUAUGAGCCUUUAACAUGUGGCAUAUGAAUUGUGCAAGGUCAAAAAGAUAGAAAACAAUUUAUUUAGAGGUUUAUCUAUUUUUAUUAUAGUAUUUAUAUUAUGUAAGAUUUAUAUAUUUAGUAUAAAGCUUAAGAAAAGGUUGGAGUCUAAAGAUGAAAGUCUAAACUAUAAGGAGGCUUAUUGGAAAGGAUGAAAGCAAAGUAUGGUUAAAUGAAGGCAAAGAAAAAAGAUUUUCAUCCCUAUUAGUUGAAUGUCAUGGCCAAUGGACUUUAAGGAGGCUACUCAAGUCCUUAUUAGGGAUAAUGAUUUCUCUUCCAAGGUCAUUUGAACUUUGGAGGUUAGGAUCAGCAAGUUUAGGUUUUUGGAUAUGGAUUGGAUGCAAAUUUUGUGUGAUUUGGAGUUUUUAUGAAGGAGUUAUAGGUGUUCAAAACUAAAGUGUCAAUUUUGUACCUAUUGUCAUUCUUUGAAGCAAAACAUAUGCUUACAAAGAACAACGAAGGGCAGCGAUUAGGAUUAGAGAGAGCACUUUCUAAGCUAUACUGUUCAUAUACUGUUUGAUAAAUUCUAAGUCUAGAUGAAGGAAUUAUAAGACAUUGAAGAUAUCUUAUGUAAUUCAAAGAAAGUAAGUUAUUUUGUUGUUAGUAAUGAUUGGAGUUGUAUCAUGAGUUUCCUAAUCCCCCGCUUUUUCCAUCAUGGAACCCCCCCCCUCCCCCCACCUCCGAUGGUACUCCUUUCGUAGUCCAUGGAGCUCGUGUUGUCCGCAACUCCGAUGAUCUACACGGAGCUUACUCCGUGUACACUACUUCGAACCUUGACUGCUUGCGACAGCAUCGUGUUCACCGCCGACGGGGUUUUCAAAGUGGAUGUCCAACUUUGCCCUCUUUGAGAAGAGCUCUAAAUCCUACUUCUGAUCUCUUUAUUUGCUACACCAUUUAAAGCUUCAUUACGAGUAUUGCGGGUUGUGUUAAAAAAUUGCUGAAAUUGCUAACAUUUUUGCCUAGAAUGGUAUGGCAUUGCUAGAAGAUGCCAGGUGGUUGUACCAAGUGUGUUCACACUUUGAAUCUUAACAGGUAAUACUGUAACCUUGUCCAUAGGGAAACAGAAAAUGUGUACUCUUCUCAUAUAUAUAUGUAGAUACAUACAAACAUGUAUGUAUGUAUGUAUGUAUGUAUGUAUGUGUGUGUGAAUUGUAUGACAAACAAAUUAAACAUGUUUUCUUUAUAUGUUUUUUAAAAUGACAAUUUGCUAAAAAGCCAUUUCGUUGUUAAGGAUUUAGAGUGUGGAGCUUGAUGAUAUUUGUUUUCAAAUUGAUUUGAUGUGAUAUAGAAUGGACUCUUGAAAUAGUUAUAUAAAGAGAAACAUUUUAAGUAUAUCUGGAUUUUUACUCAAGCAAUACCAUUUUUAAACUGUUUUCCUUUUCAAAGUAGCUUAUGUAGUAAGAUUUGUUCACUUUAGAAAACAUAAAAUUAGGCGAUAACAAUGUAAAUGCACAUAGUCAAAAGAAUCGAAAUUGAACAAGAAAAAUUGUAUUAAAUUACAAGUAUCUGUAGAUGAAUCCCAUUUAAUUCGAAUUAUAUAAUGAUUUGAGUAUCAAUUACUAGAAUUUUAAGAUACAUAAAAUAUUCAAAAUAAAAUCAUCAAUAAAAAUGCCCACAACAAAAUAAACUAAUGAAUGAAUAAAAAAUCCUACCCUAAAAUUAUCAAAGGUGAACACAAAUACUAUAAAAUGAAAAAAAAAUAUAUCUAUUUACAUGUCACCCAGAGAGCUGUGUUUGAGGCGACACCCGCCCCUGAGCCCAGGCACGAGCGGGCGCCGCCUGAAAUACAGCUCCCCGAAGACGCUGUGCAAAACUGAUCUGCUUCGCAAAACUGUGAGAAGGCACUGGAACGUGCUCCGCGCCUACUACCGCUGUACACUCGUGUCUAUCUCCUCCACCACCUUCGGCCUUUUGUAGCGUUUCAGCCACAGCGACGAACAUACUACCGACACCGAUGACGCCGCCAUGGCUGCACCCGCCACCCACGGAGGCAACCGGAACCCCGUGCUUGGGAACAGCGCCCCCGCAGCUAUGGGGAUGCCCAGCACAUUGUACCCCAACGCCCACACGUAGUUCAGCCAGAUCCUGAAGAACGACUUCCGUGACAAGUCUAUCCCUGUGAUCACGUCCUCCAGAUUGCUCUUCAUCAGCACGAUGUCCGCCGCCUCGAUCGCGAUGUCCGUCCCCGCUCCUAUCGCCAUCCCCACGUCCGCUGCGACCAACGCUGGCGAAUCGUUGAUGCCGUCCCCCACCAUGGCCACCGACGUCCCUGCCGCCUGCAUCCCACAAACCUCAGCGUCAGCAUGCUUGUUCACCAAGCGUCCUCAUCACUCGCCUCUGCUUCCCCCAUUACGCAAUCCAAUCCCACCCCGGCGCUCGCGUUCCCUCCCCAGGUCAAACUCCCCCCGCAGCCCCCACGCAUGCUCGUGCACCAGGCAAACCACGAACCUGCAUUUCUUCCACGAUCCUGGCCUUGUCUUCUGGCAACGACUCUGCGUGCACGCAUGGCCUCUCGAUUCCCAACUCCCUCGCAAUCGCCACGGCUGUGCCCCAGUUGUCCCCCGUGACCAUCAUGCUGCGCACGCCCAUUGACUUGAGGAUGCUGAUUACUCUGGCUGCUUCCGGCUUCACUGGAUCCGCGAUGGACACCACCCCCACCAACUCCCUCUCGAUGGCAACCAUCACUCCCGUCCUGGCCAAAGUCUCCACAUCGCGCAAGUGCUCCUCCGCUUCUUCCGAUAUGUGGAUCCCGUGCUCCUUCAUCAGUCGCAUGUUCCCCACCAGGGUCGCCUUGCCGUCCACCACGGCGCGCACUCCCUGCCCUGGAAUGGCCUCGAAAUCACGCACCUCGUGUUGCUGCUGACCAUGGGACGAAUGCUCGCCGCUGAUCUUCCUGGAGUACGCGACGAUCGCUUUUCCCAGUGGGUGCUCGCUGUUGACCUCCGCUGCUGCGAUUGUGUCGUAGAACACGUGCAGAGGAAUGUUCGUGAGCAGCUUGGUGUGAACGACGAUGGGCUUCCCGAUUGUCAGCGUCCCGGUCUUGUCGAAAACCACCGUCUUCACCUUGUGUGCAGCCUCCAGUGCCUGACCCCCUUUGAUCAGGAUCCCCUGCGUCGCGCCCUUCCCUGUGGCAACCAUUAUUGCGGUGGGUGUGGCCAGGCCGAGGGCGCAGGGGCACGCGAUGACGAGCACUGAUAUCCCGAACUGAAGUGCCAGCUCGAACUCGUCCAUCGCAGCCGGAAUCCAUGACUUUGGGUACGAGCGUGCUUUGCCUCCAACGUACCAAGCCAGCCACGUGACGAACGCCGCGACCACCACGGCGGGGACGAAGUAAGUGGAGAUGCGAUCCGCAUACUUCUGGACCGGGGCUUUGCCCAUUUGGGCGGCUUCCACCAGCCGCACAAUUUGUGCCAAUGCGGUCUCCGCCCCUACGUGUGUGGCUCGAAUGUGUAUCACGCCGUGGUCGUUCAUGGUGCCUCCUAUCACCUUGUCCCCUAAUUUCUUCGGUACGGGGCGGGCUUCGCCUGUUAUCAUGCUCUCGUUCACGAAGGAUUGUCCCCACACCACCACACCGUCCGUGGGCACUUUCGAGCCCGGUACCACCUGCGCAAGCCAAAACGACUUUUCAUUGCAAGAACGGGCACAACUACAAUCAUGGCUGCCACGCUACCCACUAGGACCGCUUCACGGGAACGACACGCACCGCAACUCUCUAGCACAAGCUUCUACAAUGGCCCACAUACAAACCCGACUCUGUUUCCAACCGUCCGACUCUCCGAAUCGGUAUGGACAGCCGCAUCCAACAACCCCCAGCGAAAGCCCAAGCCUGAAACGUAGCACCUACAACACCAGCGCGUAGGCCUACCUUGAUGAUGUCUCGCCGCUGGAUGAGCUCGGCCCCGAUUUCCCUCUCUCCUGCCACGUCCCCCUCCUCGUCCAGAGUGAGCAGAGUCGCCUUGUCCGGAGCGAGGUCCAUCAGCUUGGCAACGGCUUCCGAGGUCUUCCCCUUGGCCAUUACUUCCAAAUACUUUCCCAGGAUGAUAAACGAAAUGAGCAUCGCGCUCGUUUCAAAAAAAUCCGUGCCCUUGAACGUAGGAGACGUAGCCGCCCGCAACACUAUGUACACAGAAUAAAAGUACGCUGCGUUCGUGCCCAUGGCAAUUAGCACGUCCAUGUUCGACGACCCUCGCCGGAGCGCCUUGUACGCUCCCACGUAGAACCUUCUCCCGAUAACGAACUGCACCGGAGUCGCAAGAAUCCACCGCAGCAAAGCUCCGAUCGACAAGCCGUUCAGCCUGCCGUGCUCCAGACCCUCCAUAAUGCCUGGUAUGUACAUAAACACCAUGGACAAAAAGAACACUGGGACCGUGAACACCAAGCUCCAAAGGAAGUACUUCUUGUGGUGCUGGAUCUCCAAGCCCCUGUCGUGACUCCCACGACCACGAGGUGCCUCCAACUUCGCUGUGAAAACUCCCGCCUGCUCGAUGGUCUCUAUGAAAGUCCUCGGCCCAGCCCUGUCGGGCUCGUACGAUACUGUGACCAUCGCAUUGCUGAAAUCCAAAUCCACCGAUGUCACGCCGGACAGAGCCACCAGCAUCUCUUUCACGAGCUGGAAGUCCGCUGCAGCCGUCACGCCUUCCAGCUGCAGACGGAUUCUGUUCGUCUCUUCACCUGCGAUCAGAAGCUCGGCCUCGUAACCCAGGUCAUCUAUGGCGGCGGCAAGCUGGACGUGAGAAAUCACUCCAGCAUCGUGCCUCACCUCGCACUCCUCCGUGGCGAGGGCUACUACGGCCUUUUGCACUCCAUCCAGCUUUUUCAGCGAAGACUCUAUGGAGUUUGAGCAAGAGGUGCACGUCAUGCCCUUGAUACGAAAACGGCUGAUGCUCCCGCUCCGUUGACCGGCAUCGUCCACAAUUGCUUCCGCCUCGAACCCCGCGUCCUCGAUCGCCUCCCGAAUGCUUUCCUCCUGGAUUCCACUUUCCCCGUGUAAGAUUCAAUGCCUUCCAAUUCCACCGCUGCCCACAUCCAUCUUACUUCUGAGCUCCUAGCUGCCACGGUCCAUCUGGCGGAUUGCUAAAUUGACCCUCUCACCACAUGCAAAGUUUUGGAGCACCCCUCACUGCACACCUUUCAAGUCGUUUCCUACAACAUUGCUACAAGCAUCUUCUUGCCGUCCGCAUUGCACCGCGUGCUGCGCGAACGAUCCCCGCUUCACCGGUCCCGACGGAAUUCUGAACAACACGGAGUGGGAGGAAUUGUACCUGUACGAAGGCGGGCCUGUACACAACUUGAGCCCGGUUCUGCAAUACUGACACCGUUGCUUCCUCGAUGCCGGGCAACCUCUUCACGGCUUUCUCGAUGGACCCCGCACACGCUGCGCACUCCAUCCCUGUAACCUGUACACCCAAUCAACACAUACAUAUGAAAUGACGACCCCGUGGAAUCAAUUGCCAAACCACACAUGUCCCAUUUGAACCAGCCCCACGCACGUUCUACCACUGGAUCAGAAAGUCGAGCGGCGCCGCUAAACGUUGCUAGCACGAUCCGCUUUCGGCCCCUGGGGUUCUCCUAUGCAACAGACCUUUGAGGAAUUCUGCUCCCAUUCAUCGCUCUCAUGUUCAAGUGCUCAUCACUGCUUUUCUCGCGAAAUCCCCGACUUAUUCCAGCGCCAAGCACUUUCACCACGACCGUUCCUACUGGAAUUUAACAGGGACUCACAACAGAGAUCUCCCCUCCUCCCAGGCCGGGCGAUAACCUGCCCAGAUAUGGCGUAAACAAGAAGGCAAGAAAAUCACUCCAAAACAACUCCACAACCACGCCACUCCGGCGUUUCAAUGCCGCUGCUAAACCCGCACUUUGUGAGGGUUGCAUUACAGACCUUCAAGUUUGCUUUGCGAAUCUCCGAGACGUCAACUUCGCCAUGCAAGGGCGACAGCGGGUACCGCGGCAUUGACGGAUACCGAGUUGAAGACGACAAACUGCGCUCCAGCAAAACAUCCUCCUUCUUCUUCUUUCUCCUCUCGCUCUCCGUCGCCGACCCCGUUCGAGGUGCAAGCACAACUUUCAUCAGCGACUGCAUCGCUCCACAACCACCUCAAUCCAGCUCUCACGCUCUUCAACUCUCUUCUGCUCCCUCUCUCUCUCCCUCUUUUACGAGCCUCUCAAGAAAUCCUCUACAACCUCUUCUACCUGCAAUCACGACCGUCCCCGCUCCGAAGCUUACCGCAAUUCUCACGCCUGCGCUCUCAAUUCCCGCCCACGCUAAUCCCAACGACACAAGGUCCUAUUCAAACAAGCGGCUGAUGCGACACCAG